GGAGGGAGAGGAGCAGCCAGACCGGCUCAAAGACAGCAUUUCUGGGAGCUCUUACCACACAGGGAACCUAAUACUAUGGUUUCUAGGAAUGCUAAGCUAGGAUCAUCUUAUGAGGAAGCUGGUCUAUCCUCCUGGAGGCUGAACAGUGUUGUGGUGAAUCAGGCAUUCCAGCAGACGGAACCAAUUCCAGACUCUGUACCUUAUUGCCUAUACUUGGGGUGGACUGCUUCCAGACCUUCUACAUCUUAUCUGACUGCAAACCCGUGAAUGAGCCAGGUGAGACCAGUAGAAGAACUGCCAAAUCAACAGAGAACUCUUAGAAAUAAUAAAUGGUUAUUCUGUGCUGCCAAGUUUUGAGGUGAUAGCCAUAUAUAACUGGUGCAGGGAAUAAUCAUUUAGAGCAAUUGGCCUAGAUUUUUCUUCCUCAAGCAAGAAGCAAAUAUAAGAGCUUUAAAUGUAUACUGAUUUUCAUGUUUGAAAUUGAAGAUAAAAUUUGGAGAAUAUAUGUUAUGGCUUAUUUAAAAAGGUGAAGUCAUUUUAAACAUGAUAG